GCAGAUUUUCGAAAUCCCUCUUGCCCUCAUCCAAUUUUGCUCAAAUUGGAUCCUACAAGUCCUAAAUCAUAUAUAAAACGUAUUUAAACCAAAAACAAACUUCAGGUCAAGGCAAUUCAAAAUCUAGGUAUCUAAAACCCCUCAAUUUAGUGGAUUUUCAAGGUUUGAGAAGUGAAAAUGAGAAUGGGGUAAUUUUGGAGCAAAC
rnacentral:lncRNA from 1 species